UCACCACUUCCUGGAAUUCCACGUUUUGUGGGCGAUGACGUCACGGCCUCGGAGCGCGGAAGACACUCAAACAGCGCGAAAAAAAACCCAACAGUGAAUGAUUGCAGCUGUUUUACAUGGAAGUGGAUUGUUGGCAAAAACACUUCCUAUGACGUCCCAACAUAAAUUUGACUUUCAGUUUCAGGAAAAUAGGAA